UGUAACGCAUCCGAUUCCCGGGAAAUAAUAAUAAAUGUCGGGUAAUUCCUUGAUAAAUUUACGCAAUAGUAAAGUUAAAGCAGUUGAUUAAAAUAGCUAUAUCUUAUAAGAUAUUUCUUUAUCUGUAUUUUAUCAUAUCAACCAAAAUAUAGUUUAGAAUCGAAGAUAAGGCAUUCAGUGAUUUACUUUGUGUUUCGAUAGUCGUGGAAAUGCCAGUGAUACAAAAUUCAAAUAGAGAAGGAGUUGAUAGAGAAAGAGAUAGAGAUCUAGUAUCACCAGUACAUGUCACCCUCCUUAAUGUAGUCAUUUCGAUUACAAACUUGUGUCUCGGUGGCGUAACUUUGAGUGCAUUAGGUUUUAUACACAUAUUUGUAACGUCUACAUCUUUAAAGCAGCAUGUGUAUUUGUGUGUUAUCGGUUACGUUAUAAUAAUGACACAAGCAGUUCAUUCACUAAAUCCACACUCUGGUUGGGCUCGGAUGGUGAAAUAUGAGAAUCGAAGAAUGGUUCACUGGACUCUACAAAUCGUUGCCACAAUUCUUGUAUCAAUUGGCAGUAUCAUCCGGAUGGCGAAUGUCAACACCAAUUUUAAUUCUACUCAUGGUAUUCUUGGGAUCGUCGCAUUCCUCUGUACAAUACUCACCAUGAUAGGAGGGAUUGUCAACGCCAACUCGAGCAGACUAAACAUCAAUAAGACCUUCUUGACUCUAGCGCAUUCCUGUAUCGGAUCCUUAACUUUGUGUUCUGCAUUUCUUUCCUUAUGUUUUGCAUUUAAUUCAAUCUAUAGAGUAGAUAUGGGUGAUAAAAGUGCUAAUUUCGGAAUAGCUUUGUCUGUUGUUGCGCUAGUUGGUACUUUAGUAUCACCUAGUUUAGAUUUCGUUAAACGAAUAUUUCAUAGUAGGUAGAUUAAUAAACUAGAUAUAAAUCUACUUUAAUA